AACGCGGCGGUGUGCCUAAUACAUGCAAGUCGAACGCGUUGGCCCAAUUGAUUGAUGGUGCUUGCACCUGAUUGAUUUUGGUCGCCAACGAGUGGCGGACGGGUGAGUAACACGUAGGUAACCUGCCCAGAAGCGGGGGACAACAUUUGGAAACAGAUGCUAAUACCGCAUAACAACGUUGUUCGCAUGAACAACGCUUAAAAGAUGGCUUCUCGCUAUCACUUCUGGAUGGACCUGCGGUGCAUUAGCUUGUUGGUGGGGUAACGGCCUACCAAGGCGAUGAUGCAUAGCCGAGUUGAGAGACUGAUCGGCCACAAUGGGACUGAGACACGGCCCAUACUCCUACGGGAGGCAGCAGUAGGGAAUCUUCCACAAUGGGCGCAAGCCUGAUGGAGCAACACCGCGUGAGUGAAGAAGGGUUUCGGCUCGUAAAGCUCUGUUGUUAAAGAAGAACACGUAUGAGAUUAACUGUUCAUACGUUGACGGUAUUUAACCAGAAAGUCACGGCUAACUACGUGCCAGCAGCCGCGGUAAUACGUAGGUGGCAAGCGUUAUCCGGAUUUAUUGGGCGUAAAGAGAGUGCAGGCGGUUUUCUAAGUCUGAUGUGAAAGCCUUCGGCUUAACCGGAGAAGUGCAUCGGAAACUGGAUAACUUGAGUGCAGAAGAGGGUAGUGGAACUCCUG
rnacentral:rRNA from 2 species